AUCUGACAGAAAGAAGCUGAAAUCUGAUAGAAAGAAGAAGCUGAAGUCUGAUAGAAAGAAGAAGCUGAAGUCUGAUAGAAAGAAGAAGCUGAAGUCUGAUAGAAAGAAGAAGCUGAAGUCUGAUAGAAAGAAGAAGCUGAAGUCUGAUAGAAAGAAGAAGCUGAAGUCUGAUAGAAAGAAGAAGCAUUCACACAGGCGCUCCACUCAGCUGGGGCGGAACCAAUCUGCAGCUGCAGGUUUCCUACCUGCGGCAUAAAAAGGGACACACGCAGCACUGAGGAGGAAGGAGAAUGAAUGAGCUCCUCAAAUAAAUAAAGUGGCUGUGAGCGUGAGGAUCUGCGGGAAACUGUGCAGGACUGCUUCAUCUACAGAAAUCCAGGUAGCAGCCGGCGACAAUCACAUGGAAAUAGGCAUUUGGAAUCACCUCCAAUCACUUCAAGAAGCUGGAUCACUUUUCGCCAGGCUCGAUCGCCAUGGUAACCAAUGCUGGAUGGCUAAGAUUAGACCAAAACCUGCCAACAGCCCAACAGGUGACCAUUCAAACCACUGCAGACCCUCAACACGACUGACGACGCUUCAUCUAGCAACGCCUUCAAAUGUUUAAACUGCCAGAGGUGAGUCAGCUGGUUGGUCCAGGAGGAGAGCCAGAGGCGUCACUCUGAUCCAACUCAACAGGAAAGCGACACCAUGCUCAUCAUCUAAACGACAAAAUAUAGAAGCAGGAGUCGCAGGUAAUUUUUCAGUGUAUGCACCACUGAGCAACUUUCAUAUGGAAGAACUGGGCACCAUCUUUAAAUGCAGAGUCAGGUUCACCUUAAUACAGCUCAUAUUAAACGAAUUCACAACCCUGGAAGCUUUCUCCUUUUACUGCUUCUCAGCACUGAAUCACAGACCGUAUAACUGGACUUUUUGACAGGAGUUUGCAAAAAAUAUUUCAUGUCAAAGUGAAAAAAGAUGACAACAGUAUAUUAAUAUAACCACAAUGAUAACAAAAGGAAUAAUCCAAGAAACUCAGAGAAAAGCUUGUUGAAAAGCAUCAGUCAGGACGUUAUGAGAACAUUUCCAAGGUCCUGAAGAUCUUCUGGAGUCCAGUUAAAUCCAUCAUUAUGGAAAGCAAGGAAGAUGGAACAUGAAUAAAUCUGACUGGAGCAGGACGUCCUCAAGAACUGAGAGACUAGAGAGGGAGGCCACCAAGACUCCUAUGACUCCUCUGAAGGAGUUAAAAUUGUGAGUCAUAAAGUCACUGGGUCAUAAAAACUAAUUUCUGAUUUAAAUACAGUAAAGCUGUAUAAUUUUAUGCUCAUAGGUUGUAGAAGAACAAAUCACAUGACUUUGGAUGUGGACAUUAUUUAUAGGUUUGGCCAGUGACAUUUUAUAAAUAAAUGUAGAUGUAAAUUAAUAUUUUUUUUCCAGUGAUUGUACCAGAUAAUAUGUGGAAACUAACAACAAAAAAGGGUAAACCUGUAGAAUAACAGAUCAGUAGCAAACUCUGUGAUGGCCAGUUUCAGCUGCAAAAAUGACAUUCAAGCAUUAAACUAAAGCUUCAAGAGUUUCUGCCAAACAUCAGCAGGUAACCAUGGAAAUGUACCAGGUUUGAUUGGUUGGACGUGGAACAAGUGAUCUGUUCUGUAAUGUGAAAUGAGACGCUGAAGACGAGUCUUCAAAGUCAUCACAGCUUGAUCUCAGAUGUACGGCAGUAAAAGGACGACCAGAGAAUACAACCCAGCAGGGACGCUGUUACACUGUCGGGUACAAGAGGAGGAAAUCAUCGUCAGCCGCUGGCCACUCUAAAGGCCAAGUCAUGCUUUCUGCGUCCACCAAGGUCCAUGAAAAUUAUUAUCUGGCCAAGUUUUAAUGGAACCACAUGGACCCUUCAGCAGAUGCAGCUCAAACAUGUGCAAAACAUGCUAUUAAAGAGUAAGUUAUUGCGUGGGAAGAUGGAAAUUUUGGGUUCUACGUGCUAAAUUCCAGAUAUUUUGACCCCAAAACCAAGCAAAUUGCUCUAAACGAUCAAGACUGCAUGUCAAAAAUGGCGACAAUCUUGAAAAUCCUUUCAAACUUUGUGUGGCUAACGUUAUUUCACUAAAAAUCACCAAUCGCUGAACACAUGGGCCAGUGUUGGUGUUUUAAAGGCCCAAGUUUUUAAGGAACCACAUGGACCCUUUAGCAUAUAAAAUGUGCAUAACAUGCUAUUAAGGUGUAAGUUGUGUUAGAACGUGUAAAUUUGGACUCUACAUGCUAAAUUCCAGAUAUUUUGACCCCAGAACCAAGCAAAUCACUCUACAAGUUCAUGUUUUGUGACAAUAUAUUGGAUUACAUGAUCAACAUUGGUGGCCAUCUGGAAAGCCUUUUUGAAAGUUUGUGUGGCUAAUGCUAUUUCACAAAAAGUAACCCAAUGUUGGACAUGAAUGGUGGAUAAAAGGUCUGUACUGACUGUCAUGGUCUUGACACAAGUGUUCACAAGGAUCCAUGUGAUGUAAAUUCUUUAUCUGCCCAAGUCUUGAAAGGACCACAUGGACCCUUCAACAGAUGCAGCUCAAAAGAAGUGGAAAACAUGCUAUUAAGGUGUAAGUUGAUGUGCUGGAAGAUGGAAAUGUUGGCUUCUACAUGCUAAAUUACAGAUAUUUUGACCAAAUAACCAAGCAAAUUGCUCUACAAGAUCAGGACAGCAUGUCAAAAAUGGUGACCAUCUUGAAGAGCCUUUAAAAAAAUUGUGUGGCUAACGUUAUUUACAAAAAAAAAACUCAUCCAUCGGUGAACACAUGAGCCAGUUUUGGUGCUUUAAAGGCCCAAGCUGUAAAGGAACUACAAAGACCCUUCAGCUGACGCAACUAAAAAAAUUGUGCAAAACACGCUGUUAAAGUGUAAGUCGUUGUGUUAGAACAAGGAAAUGUGAGUUCUAUGUGCUAAUUUCCAAAUCCAAAAAACCAAGCAAAUCACUCUAUCUCUGAAAAUAUAUGGAAUUGCUUAUCAAAAAUGGCAGCCAUUUGAAAACCCCUUUAAAAAUUCUAUCUUCCAACCACCUGUAGCUCAAAUACUGCAGCAGAUAACAGCAAAUAUGAAAGGAAUUGUUAAUUUUAUCAUACAGGCCUUGACGUUGGUCUCUGUGUCCAACAUUGAGGUGAGUUUUCAUAAAAUAACCUUAAAACAUAUGAAUUUUCUUAAAGGUUUCAAGAUGGCCACCAUUUUUGAUCAUGCAACCCAAUAUAUCAUCACGCAGCAUGAACUUGUAGAGUUAUUUGCUUGGUUUUGGUGUCAAAAUAUAAUGAAUUUAGCACAUAGAAUCCAAGUUUGCACAAUAAGUUACACCCUAAUAGCAUGUUUCACAGUUAUUUUUGAAAUAUGGUUUGAUGUUUAGCAAUCUAUUGAUGUAACAGCUACAGGAUGUAGGAGUGUUGUAGUAAAGGUCAGCUACUCAUGGCUCUGGUUCUUACUGCUGACCAAACUGUCAACAUUUGGUGCCAAUGAACAUUUCAUUUAUGACAACAAAUACGAGCUGAAGUCAACACAUUUCUCCUCGCUGAUUGGUUCUCUUAAAAGCAAAAACACUGAAAGUAAAGACUUUAUUUGACUUUAUUUUUUAGUUUCAGUAACUCUGCAUGCUCUAUUUCUGUCAGAUCCAACACAGAAACAGUAGAAAUGUCUCAGAUCUCUGCAGCUGAAGAUGGAAAACUUCACUAUGCCGAUGACACCAUCAUUUUGAUUGGCUAAAGUCCACAUCCGGCUAUGUAUGAACUCACAUCACGGUUCUGACAGUGAUCUUUCCAGGCCACCCUGAAACCAGACACCAGGACAUUACUCUCCACAUGUGAAGGUUAAUUCAGUGAAUUCAUUCAGUCGUGUCACGUUUUCUUACCAGGCUUUGAUGCCUUGGGGAUCUCUGACGAUGCGUUUGGCGCAGUUGAUUGCUAAGCCAACGUUAUCAGUCAGAAGCUCUGCGAACAAACAGUGGAAAUAAAAGACUGUGCAUUUAAACGUUGGACCGCAAAGUACAGUAAAAUUAGAAAAAACAUUUUUUAAAAAGCCUCUCAGAAGCUCCGUAAUUGUAGCUCAGUGUUGUGAACAAACUGCAUUUACAGAAGUGCUUUUAUGUAAAUUGCUGUACCACAUAUUCACAGUUAAAGGUUUUGCUAAACAAGUAGAGAAAACAAGUACUGUUGUUUUUUUUUCUUUUAUCACAAUCUGACGACAUUAUCCAAAA